CAACAGCUAGAGUUUGAUCCUGGCUCAGGAUGAACGCUAGCGACAGGCUUAACACAUGCAAGUCGAGGGGCAUCGGGACGUAGCAAUACGUUGCCGGCGACCGGCGGAUGGGUGAGUAACGCGUAUGCAACCUGCCCACGACAGGGGGAUAGCCCGUUGAAAGACGGAUUAAUACCCCAUAAAACAGGGGUUCCGCAUGGGACUAUUUGUUAAAGGGUUUUCCGCGAGGGGGAUCCGGUUGUGGAUGGGCAUGCGUUCCAUUAGGCAGUUGGUGGGGUAACGGCUCACCAAACCGACGAUGGAUAGGGGAACCGGGAGGUUGGUCCCCCACACUGGUACUGAGAUACGGACCAGACUCCUACGGGAGGCAGCAGUGAGGAAUUUUGGUCAAUGGACGGAAGUCUGAACCAGCCAAGUCGCGUGAAGGAAGGCGGCCCUAAGGGUUGUAAACUUCUUUUGUAAGGGAAUAAAGGCCGGUACGCGUUACCGGUUUGCAGGUACCUUACGAAUAAGGAUCGGCUAAACUCCGUGCC
rnacentral:rRNA from 1 species